rnacentral:rRNA from 1 species
UACAGAGGGGGCAAGCGUUGUUCGGAAUUACUGGGCGUAAAGGGCUCGUAGGCGGCCAACUAAGUCACACGUGAAAUCCCCAGGCUUAACCUGGGAACUGCGUGUGAUACUGGAUGGCUUGAAUUCGGGAGAGGGAUGCAGAAUUCCAGGUGUAGCGGUGAAAUGCGUAGAUAUCGGGAGGAACACCUAUGGCGAAGGCAGCUCGCUGGGACGUUACUGACGCUGAGACGCGAAAGCGUGGGGAGCAAACAGG